CUGAUGGUGCUAAUGGUGGACCUGUAGAUGAUGAUGGCUGUGAUUCUGCAUUAAUAAAACGUUAUAGUUAUUUACAUUACAUAGGCAUAACUAACACAUAACUUUGUGAUUUUUUUUUAGAUAUCACCUCAAACAGUGGCAUGAAAACGGAAACUGCUUAUUUUUGUUUGUUCUGUGUGCCUUCACAUUUCCAACUGAAAAUAAUUGCCCAUGAAGAUGGGCAGAAAACAUGUUGAUUCAGUACAAUACCCCCUUUUUCCAGUAUUUGUAUGGUAUUUCAAUAUUUAAUGUUAUCUUUCUGAAGGAUUUGUAACACAUUAAGACUCAAUCUGAGGUGCUUGGCGAAGGUGUGCACUCUCCGUGUGCUUUGCUAGUCUUAUUGAUUUAUUUUCAAGUACUGUUUUUUUUUUUUUUUUUUUGUCAUUUUAAUUGUAAUUUUACAAGGUCAAAUUAAAGACACCAAUCAGUAAAAAUACAUCUACCUUGUACCUUAUGGGCAUGAAUCUAGCUUAUCCAGCUAAUGAAUGCAAUAUUGUUUGGUGGUUGCUACCUACGAAUGCAACUAUUUAUUUCUGUUUUAAUAGAUAUGUUUGUUGUCAUUCUGUUUCAGAGUGGAUUUCAAGAAGAGAGAGGGGUCACAUGAAUCUUGACAUUUAUAAACAUGCAACUGCAUUUCUUCUUCAAGCCAAGGAAACCCAUCGACUGACAUGGAGAGCUGUUAACCACAUCGUGAGUGGAGUCCAGCAAUAUCAGGCCGUAUUAU
rnacentral:lncRNA from 1 species